UAACCUUCACUAUAGAUCAACAAUAACCAACUCGAUCACGGAUCAAUCAGUAGUUAACUCAGUUUGUUCCUGACUUCUAGCAAGCAUGACAAGUAUGAUAAAAUGAUCAAUGUUGCAAAUGACUUGAUUUUCAGUGAUAGACACACAUGCUACCUUCUAAUUCACAUCAUUAAGGUGUUUUAAUGCUUUGGAUAAACCAACCUAACACUAUCAGGUCAAUAAUACUCUAAACUUAAAUCUCAAGCAUUAUACAAAAUCAAAACUAACUUAAUCUAUAAGAUUACUUACAGAGAAGCCAAAUAAUUGUUAAGGAAGUCCUACAUCCCAAUACAAUUCCUUAGAGUCCUACUUAGUAUAAAUAGGUAUUUGUUCAAAUGAAUAUCGUGACUAAGUACUGAAGCCAAUGGCAAUUAUAAGAAAAGCUCAUGUGAAAAACUAUGCAAUUCUUCUUCAUUUAAUCCCAAAGCUAAUUCAUACAUGUUGAUCCGAGUUUCCAAAUCACCUGGGUUAAGAAGAGGUACCUGAGAUAUGAAAUUAAGAAGCAGGAGAGAUCAGUAGCAGUCACAGUUGAUCAUAAACAACCCAGAAACGAAAUCUGAGAUCCAGAAGUGUUUAAAUUGAACAAAGUUUAUAGAUAUUCUCCAAAUAGCAUCAAAUUAAACCCAUAAAUGUACACAGAUGAACAAACAGCCAACAAUAACACCCAAACUUGAUUCAAUCAAACAAUUCCAACUCGAAAUCACUCAAAACCAUCCGAACGCAUCCAAAACUGAUCUAAUUGGAAUCCAAAAGCUCUCUGAAUCCUCAAAUUUCCAGAAAUGAAUCUCAGAAUUGUAAAUCGGCUAUCAAAACUAGAAUUUAGCUAGGGAAUAGUAUAAACUUCACUUGAACUCAUUAUGGACUAAAAAUGAAAGCCAAAGACUCCAGAAACUAGAAAUAAACAACUAAAAUCCUAAUGGAACAGUAAUUUCUUUGGUUUUCUGAAAUUUUAUAUUGUUUUUGGUUUUUUCUCUUGAAGAAGGCUAAGGUCUAAAAGAAAUUGAAUCUGAAAUUUGAAUUCCUGAUCUGUGAAGUUUUUAGGAAUAUUUGGGGGAAUGUUUUAGGCUCUCCCACUUGUGAAUCAAGUAAAGGGCAUGCCCUUUUAUAGGCACAAAUAAGGGCAGCUUUCAGAUUUUCAGUUUUCCUUUUAGUCCCUCCUAAUUUUCAGUUUGGUCCCUUUACUUUUGACUUACUAAUCAAAUAAACACCCUUAUUUUGCUGAAAUCUACACUAAAGUAGCAUUCUAGAAGGCCCUAGGAUGCUCUUCUACCCAAAAAAUACCUAUAUUAUCCUUACCCUUGCUUUGGAAUUACUAUUCCUAAUAAAACUACCUUUUUCUAUGCCUAAACUAACCUUAGUUCUCCCUGAAAUUACUACCCAACCCAAACCCAUUCAGCUAUAACCAUAAUCAGUCCUACAAUUCUCAUAAUGCAUCUAUCUAAUACUAAACUGAACUGUGACGCUAAUUACACCAAUAAAAAACUAACAAGUAACUAAUCAAGAUGUUAAGAAAAUAAAUUGCCAUAAACAAGUAUGAACAAAGUAACUAUCACAGAAUCAGAGUAUAUCAAUGAACUAGGCAAUUAAAUCAAUUAACAUUAAGCUAACUCGUAGAGAUUAAACCAAUAAAUGACCAAUUAAACUAACUAUGACAUAAUUGAAACAAGCUAACAAAAUAGGAAUUAACUGAGAAUUAUUCUAACAUUUAAAUAAAACGCAAAGAUGGACUGAAGUUACCUAAACUUGAUAUUAAACUAAGCUCAACGGAACUACAAUUUAAACGAAAAAUAACUAAGGAACAAAGGGAUAGAAAACUUACCGAAAAUCAAUCUUCAAACAAAAAAGCUUCAAGAUUAACUUCAAAUUAAUACUAUACGUAUAUCUUGUAGGAGAUAAACUUAUAAUAUUAACCGGGGUUAACUCGUCUUUGAAAAAUCAUUAGAAUGGUCUGUAACAGUGAAACCUAGAUUUGAAAUUGGGGGAGGCUUGGUGAGAUUCGAGGGAAAAUAAACCCAUAUUUGUGAAGAGGAGGAUGAGGAGACUAUAUGGUGAAGAUUUGGAGUCGUUUGGUUGAAUUUGUGUUUUAGACUGAACUUUCAAACACAUAUUCGAAAAGCUUGGGUUUGAUUCGAGGAAAACCAUUGUCAUUGACGGAAAGAGGAGAGUGAGGAGGACAUGUGGUGUUAUUUUGGAUGAAUUUGGGGCAUUGCCGCCAGCGGCGAUUUCCGGUCGGCAGCGGACGGCGGAGCAGUAACGGAGAUUGUCGGCGUUGCAGGUUGGUACGAGGAAGAAAGGGUGUGUCUCUAGGGUUUGAGAGAUAUUCAAACACUUAUAUGGAAUGUGAUUAUUUAAUUGAGGCCGUUGGAUUGAGUAAGGUCAAGGGCUGAGAUUAACCUCGCCCAAACGGCGUCGUUUGAUGGUGGAAGGAGAUUGGGUCGGGUGAUGGCAGAUAUGGGCUUGGGUGGGGCGUGAAUUUGUCUUGGGCCAUGCAAUUUUAGCCCAAAUUGGCACCUUAUGAAACCAAUUUUUUUUAAUUAUUUUUCUUUUAUCUCUUUUGUUUUGUUUUUGUUUUCAUUUUGUAUUUUUGUAUUAUUAUUUUAUUUAUUUAUUUUUAAUUUUAUAAAUGUGCAAAAAAAUUGAAAUAAAGUCCUAAUAUUCCAAAGCUAAACUAAUUAAGUUCAAAAACUAUUUAAUAUCUAUUUCACGCCAGAUUCACAAUUAAAACAAUUAAAAAGUGAACUAUUUUUGUGAUUUUUCAUGUUUUAUUCUAAAAAAAAUUAACCCCUAAUUAAUCCUAAAAAUAUGACAUUAAAUUCUAAAUGCAAAUAUUUUUUUUGUAUUUUUAUAUAAAUUAAAAUGCACAUAUAAAAUGCAAACAAGGAACAGAAAAUAGCACCAAAAUUAACAAAAAUUGUAAAAAUAAGGAAAAAAAUAUUUUGUUUGAAAUUUUUAGGAAUAAUUCAUACAUAUGGCUAAAAUCACGUGCUCACACAAAUCACAAAACAAAAAACAGAAUUAGGUCAACUGAUUGGGAAAAUUCAAAUAAUCAGUAACCAAAAAUGAUUCUGCAUAAAGCAAAGAUUAUCAACUGCAAUGAUUGUGUGAUUAGCCCCUGGGCUCUAAUACCAUGAUGAAGCUCGAGGAUCAGAUCAUCUAGAACAAGAGGAAGAAGAAGAAGCGGAAGGUUCUAGAAUGAGGAACACAUUUGAGAGCAUACGAGCAGAAAUGAAUAUGUAUUUCACUAAUUAGAUUAACUACAAAACUAUACAACGCUUGUAUACAGUGGCAGAUCUACUUAGGCGAUUGUGGGUGCUUAAGCACCCAUUGCUUUUGACCGUAUUUUUUAAAUUUGUAUAGUAACCAUAAAAAUAUUUUGAUAAAUAUUGAAUUAGCACCCACAACUAAACUCUUUUUUUUUCUUUAAAAUUUUAAUCGGCUAGCACCCAUAACUCUAAUAUCCUGAAUCCUCCACUGCUUGUAUAUAUACAUAUACUGCAUAUGAUAGCUGUACCAACUACUCUAACAUACUCCACUAACUUCAAUAACCACCUAUCAUAUAAUUAGUUAUAACUAACACUCAGCUAAUUACACUAACUCACGUGAGUGUCAUGCGCCACUCUUCUCCUCAAUACAGAACAUGUUAUACCGACGAUGAUUGCAAUGAUUGCCGGCGGUAGUGUAUCUGUGGAAACAAUCUUUUUUAUUUUCCUGAAAAAUAAUGUUUCCAUUAGGCUACAUGCAAUCGGGUCAUUAUUGGUCAAUUGCAGCGGAUUAGACAAAUCCAUGUAACGCAUUCAUUUUUUCGGUUGAUUUUAGUGUUUUCCUUUAUCUGUUGAUCCAAGUUUAUUUGUCUAUAUAUGAUUUGUAUCAAUAAUGGAGAAAUUCAAUGUCACUACCCCAAAACCACCCCGACCGUGAUAACGCCUACCAUAUUACUAGACUAACCGAAUCAACACUAACAACAUAAAAGUCUUUUGUAAAUUCAUUUUUCUAAUAAUAUAUAGUCUCAAAUCUUGCAUUUUGAUGUAACAAAAUACGCAGAAAAACAAAUACAAAAUUACAUCCACACAACUCGAUCCUGGUAUCACUAAUCAUGAGCUACUACACUGCAGUACGAUACCGUCUACUCAAUCCAAAAUAAGACUGAAAUAUGUAAUAAUGAAGAUAGGAAGGAGAAGGGCUACGGACGCCAUGUAGCUACCUCACAAUCUCUAAAAUUCUAUGAAGGCUAGAGACAGCUCUCACUCAGAUGUUCUGGCACCCGGAUUUGCACACAAGGUGCAGGGAGUAACGUGAGUUUGCCAACUCAGUAAAUAACUAAAAAGGUUGAAAGCAGGGACGAGCAUUUAAAUCAUAUACAUAGUCUACCAUCGAAUCUUAAUAGAAAUAGCAAAAGUUAAAUCCGUAGUUCAAUUUCCGAACAUCAAGUUAAAAAUUCCAAUUUCAAUGAAAGUUAUUUAAAAUAUUUGUUCAACAUUUUCAAAAGAGGCUUAGUAUAAAAGAAGAGUGAAAAAAGUAAUUUCAUAAACAAGUCCCUUGGGCAGAGCAUCUCUCAUACAUAUAGCCCCUCGGGCAAGUCUCUCAGUCACUCGUGAAUCAACUCUCGUCAAUCAGCGCACUCGCUCCCGCUUAGUAGAUAUCUCAUAAUAACAACCGAUGCAGCGUGCAUCCCGAUCCGUAAAUAUAUAUAGUCGACUGCGCUCACUAGGGUUGUGCAGACUCCGGAGGGGUUCAUACAGCUCGAGCGCUAUAGCGCUGUAGCGUGCAGCCCGAUCCAAUACGUCUCUCUGCGGCAUGCCACGCGAUCUAUAUAUAUAUAUAUUAAGAAAAGCUCAUGUGAAAAACUAUGCAAUUCUUCUUCAUUUAAUCCCAAAGCUAAUUCAUACAUGUUGAUCCGAGUUUCCAAAUCACCUGGGUUAAGAAGAGGUACCUGAGAUAUGAAAUUAAGAAGCAGGAGAGAUCAGUAGCAGUCACAGUUGAUCAUAAACAACCCAGAAACGAAAUCUGAGAUCCAGAAGUGUUUAAAUUGAACAAAGUUUAUAGAUAUUCUCCAAAUAGCAUCAAAUUAAACCCAUAAAUGUACACAGAUGAACAAACAGCCAACAAUAACACCCAAACUUGAUUCAAUCAAACAAUUCCAACUCGAAAUCACUCAAAACCAUCCGAACGCAUCCAAAACUGAUCUAAUUGGAAUCCAAAAGCUCUCUGAAUCCUCAAAUUUCCAGAAAUGAAUCUCAGAAUUGUAAAUCGGCUAUCAAAACUAGAAUUUAGCUAGGGAAUAGUAUAAACUUCACUUGAACUCAUUAUGGACUAAAAAUGAAAGCCAAAGACUCCAGAAACUAGAAAUAAACAACUAAAAUCCUAAUGGAACAGUAAUUUCUUUGGUUUUCUGAAAUUUUAUAUUGUUUUUGGUUUUUUCUCUUGAAGAAGGCUAAGGUCUAAAAGAAAUUGAAUCUGAAAUUUGAAUUCCUGAUCUGUGA
rnacentral:lncRNA from 1 species